rnacentral:rRNA from 1 species
UCAAGUUAUUAAGGGUGCAGGGCGGAUGCCUUGGCACUAGGAGCCGAUGAAGGACGUGAUAAGCUGCGAUAAGCUUCGGGGAGUUGCACGUAAACUUUGAACCGAAGAUUUCCGAAUGAGGAAACUCACUUAGAGUAAUGUCUAAGUAUCAUUAAGUGAAUACAUAGCUUAAUGAGGGGAACUCAGGGAACUGAAACAUCUAAGUACCUGAAGGAAGAGAAAGAAAUUCGAUUCCGUAAGUAGCGGCGAGCGAACGCGGAUUAGCCCAAACCAAUAAAGUUUUCUUUAUUGGGGUUGCGGACAUAUCAUAACGAAGAGGUAUCGUAAUUGAAGAGGUUUGGAAAGACCCACCACAGAAGGUAAUAGUCCUGUAUGUUAAACGAGAAGACUUCAGAUAUGAUCCAGAGUACCACGGGACACGUGAAACCCUGUGGGAAGCAGGAGGGACCACCCUCCAAGGCUAAAUACUACCUAGUGACCGAUAGCGUAUAGUACCGUGAGGGAAAGGUGAAAAGAACCCCGGGAGGGGAGUGAAAUAGAACCUGAAACCCUGCACUUACAAGCUGUGGAAGCACAUUUCUUGUGUGACCGCGUACUUUUUGUAGAACGGGCCAACGAGUUACGUUAAGUAGCAAGGUUAAGCACUUAAGGUGUGGAGCCGUAGCGAAAGCGAGUUUUAACUGAGCGUUCAGUUACUUGACGUAGACCCGAAACCGGGCGACCUACCCAUGAGCAGGAUGAAGCGAAAGUAAAAUUUCGUGGAGGUCCGAACCCACGAGCGUUGAAAAGCUCGGGGAUGACUUGUGGGUAGCGGUGAAAUUCCAAUCGAGCCCGGAGAUAGCUGGUUCUCCCCGAAAUAGCUUUAGGGCUAGCCUCAAGGUGAGAGAUACGGAGGUAGAGCACUGAAUGUCCUAGGGGGUAUUGCACCUACCGAAGACUAUCAAACUCCGAAUGCCGUCAUCUUAUACUUGGGAGUCAGACUGUGGGUGAUAAGAUUCAUAGUCGAAAGGGCAACAGCCCAGAUCGUCAGCUAAGGUCCCUAAAUGUAAGUUAAGUGGUAAAGGAUGUGGGAUUGCACAGACAACCAGGAUGUUGGCUUAGAAGCAGCCACUCAUUCAAAGAGUGCGUAAUAGCUCACUGGUCGAGUGAUCCUGCGCCGAAGAUUUCCGGGGCUAAAACUUACUACCGAAGCUACGGCAUCAGUAAUGAUGGGUAGGGGAGCUUCCCAUACGGGUUGAAGCAUGACCGUAAGGACAUGUGGACAGUAUGGGAGUGAGAAUGUUGGCAUGAGUAGCGAGAUGUGGGUGAGAAUCCCACAGGCCGUAAACCCAAGGUUUCCAGGGGAAGGUUCGUCCGCCCUGGGUUAGUCGGGACCUAAGCUGAGGCCGAAAGGCGUAGGUGAUGGACAACAGGUUGAUAUUCCUGUACUACCGAUAACCGUUUGAGAGAAGGGAUGACACAGUAGGAUAAGCUAAGCACACUGUUGGUUAUGUGUGCCCAAGCAUUGAGGCAGUCAAAGUAGGCAAAUCCGCUUUGAUAAUGCUGGGAUGUGAUGGGGAGCGAAAUUUAGUAGCGAAGUAGCUGAUUUCACACUGUCAAGAAAAGUCUCUAUCGAGGUUAAAGGUACCCGUACCGCAAACCGACACAGGUGGGUGAGGAGAGUAUCCUAAGGCCAGCGAGAGAACUGUUGUUAAGGAACUCGGCAAAAUGACCCCGUAACUUAGGGAUAAGGGGUGCCACCAUCAGGUGGCCGCAGAGAAUAGGCCCAAGCGACUGUUUACCAAAAACAUAGGUUUCUGCUAAGUCGCAAGACGAUGUAUAGGAGCUGACGCCUGCCCGGUGCUGGAAGGUUAAGGGGAUCUGUUAGAGCAAUCGAAGCAGUGAACUUAAGCCCCAGUAAACGGCGGCCGUAACUAUAACGGUCCUAAGGUAGCGAAAUUCCUUGUCGGGUAAGUUCCGACCCGCACGAAAGGCGUAACGAUUUGGGCACUGUCUCAACAACAGACUCGGUGAAAUUGUAAUUCCGGUGAAGAUGCCGGAUACCUGCGACAGGACGGAAAGACCCCAUGGAGCUUUACUGUAGCUUGACAUUGGGUCUUGGUACUACAUGUACAGGAUAGGUGGGAGGCUUUGAAACCAGGACGCCAGUUUUGGCGGAGCCAUCCUUGGGAUACCACCCUUGUAGUACUGGGACUCUAACCAUAGGCCAUGAAUCUGGUCUUGGGACACUGUCAGGUGGGCAGUUUGACUGGGGCGGUCGCCUCCCAAAAGGUAACGGAGGCGCUCAAAGGUUCUCUCAGUACGGUCGGAAAUCGUACGUAGAGUGUAAAGGCAAAAGAGAGCUUGAUUGCAAGACAUACAGGUCGAGCAAGGAUGAAAAUCGGACUUAGUGAUCCGGUGGUUCUGCGUGGAAGGGCCAUCGCUCAACGGAUAAAAGCUACCCUGGGGAUAACAGGCUUAUCUCCCCCAAGAGUCCACAUCGACGGGGAGGUUUGGCACCUCGAUGUCGGCUCAUCACAUCCUGGGGCUGUAGUAGGUCCCAAGGGUUGGGCUGUUCGCCCAUUAAAGUGGUACGCGAGCUGGGUUCAGAACGUCGUGAGACAGUUCGGUCCCUAUCCGUCGCAGGCGUAGGAAAUUUGAGAAGACCUGUCCUUAGUACGAGAGGACCGGGAUGGACGUACCUCUGGUGUACCAGUUGUCCUGCCAAGGGCAUGGCUGGGUAGCUAUGUACGGAAUGGAUAAGCGCUGAAAGCAUCUAAGCGCGAAGCCAACUUCAAGAUAAGAUUUCCCACCGCAAGGGUAAGACCCCAGAAAGACUAUCUGGUUGAUAGGUCGAAGGUGUAAGUGCAGCAAUGUAUUUAGCUUAUCGAUACUAAUAGGUCGAGGACUUGACCAA